CAAUAGCGUAUAUUUAAGUUGCUCCAGUUAAAAAGCUCGUAGUUGGAUUUCGGGUGGGAAUGGCCGGUCCGCCGUUUCGGUGUGCACUUGCUACGCCCACCUUGCUGCCGGGGACGUGCUCUUGAGUUCACGCUCGGGACACGGAGUCGGCGAGGUUACUUUGAGUAAAUUAGAGUGUUCAAAGCAGGCCUACGCUCUGAAUACAUUAGCAUGGAAUAACACGAUAGGACUCUGGCCUAUCUUGUUGGUCUGUAGGACCGGAGUAAUGAUUAAGAGGGACAGUCGGGGGCAUUCGUAUUUCAUUGUCAGAGGUGAAAUUCUUGGAUUUAUGAAAGACGAACUACUGCGAAAGCAUUUGCCAAGGAUGUUUUCAUUAA
rnacentral:rRNA from 1 species